GGAAAUUUUUUAGUGUUCUUCAAGUUUUGUGAAUCCAGAUGUCUAUUUCCCUCCCAAGAUUUGGGGUGUUUUCAGCCAUUAUUUACUUAAAUAUGUUUUCUGUCACCUCUCUCUUUCUCUCUAUUUUCCUACCAAGACUACCAUUGUGUAUAUAUUUGUUUACCUGAUGGUGUUCCAUAAAUCUCAUAGGUUUUCUUUACUCUUUUUCAUUCCUUUUUUCUAUUUUCUUCUAUGAUUGGAUAAUUUCAAAUGAUCUGUCUUCCAGUUUGCAGAUUUCUGCUUGAUUAAGUGUUGGGGAAACCAGCCCCACACUACCCAGCGGGUACUCCGAGUCCGGCAGAGACAAAGGAGUUAGAAAGAGACAGAAUAAGCGUUUUAAAGGGAGACACACGUUGUUCUCUCAAUGGACAAGGAUCUUCUUCAACCCCUGCAUCCCCCACAUAGUGGCACAAAGGAAAUAUUUGUUGAAUGAAUGAGGAGCAGACAACGAGGAGCUUGGGACAUCUGAGAAUGGCACCUAGCAUGGAAAAUAAGACCAAAACAAAACAGAAAAAUGUAGUGAAGCUGCUGCCAUUCUACAUUUGCCCCGGAUGGAACUCCGUGAUACCACCUCGCUUCACGAUAUUUCACAUUGCCUGAUGGAACCCAAAGAAACCAGCUUUAUUUCUGUGCCAUUUCUCAGUGAUUAAACUUCAAACUUCAAAACCAAGA
rnacentral:lncRNA from 1 species